rnacentral:rRNA from 1 species
CCUACGGGGGGCAGCAGUGAGGAAUAUUGGUCAAUGGGCGCGAGCCUGAACCAGCCAAGUAGCGUGAAGGAUGACUGCCCUACGGGUUGUAAACUUCUUUUAUAAAGGAAUAAAGUGAGGCACGUGUGCCUUUUUGUAUGUACUUUAUGAAUAAGGAUCGGCUAACUCCGUGCCAGCAGCCGCGGUAAUACGGAGGAUGCGAGCGUUAUCCGGAUUUAUUGGGUUUAAAGGGAGCGUAGAUUGUUUGUUAAGUCAGUGGUGAAAGUUUGCGGCUCAACCGUAAAAUUGCAAUUGAUACUGGAAGACUUGAGUACGUUUGAGGUAGGCGGAAUGCGUGGUGUAGCGGUGAAAUGCAUAGAUAUCACGAAGAACUCCGAUUGCGAAGGCAGCUUACUAAGCUGCCACUGACACUGAAGCACGAAAGCGUGGGGAUCAAACAGGAUUAGAUACCCGAGUAGUC